rnacentral:rRNA from 1 species
AGUGAACGCUGGCGGUAGGCCUAACACAUGCAAGUCGAACGGCAGCACAGUAAGAGCUUGCUCUUACGGGUGGCGAGUGGCGGACGGGUGAGGAAUACAUCGGAAUCUACUUUUUCGUGGGGGAUAACGUAGGGAAACUUACGCUAAUACCGCAUACGACCUACGGGUGAAAGUAGGGGAUCUUCGGACCUUGCGCGAUUGAAUGAGCCGAUGUCGGAUUAGCUAGUUGGCGGGGUAAAGGCCCACCAAGGCGACGAUCCGUAGCUGGUCUGAGAGGAUGAUCAGCCACACUGGAACUGAGACACGGUCCAGACUCCUACGGGAGGCAGCAGUGGGGAAUAUUGGACAAUGGGCGCAAGCCUGAUCCAGCCAUACCGCGUGGGUGAAGAAGGCCUUCGGGUUGAAAAGCCCUUUUGUUGGGAAAGAAAAGCAGCAGGUUAAUACCCCGCUGUUCUGACGGUACCCAAAGAAUAAGCACCGGCUAACUUCGUG